ensembl:snRNA U6 U6 spliceosomal RNA
GUGCUCACUUUGGCAGCACAUAUACUAAAAUUGGAAUGAUACAGAGAAGAUUAGCAUGUCCCCUGCACAAGGAUGACACGCAAGUUCAUGAAGCAUCUUGUAUUUUU